GACGUAGGGCGCGAGCGUUUGUCCGGAAUUAUUGGGCGUAAAGGGCUCGUAGGCGGUUUGUCGCGUCGGGAGUGAAAACCAUGGGCUUAACUCAUGGCUUGCUUCCGAUACGGGCAGACUAGAGGUAUGCAGGGGGAGAACGGAAUUCCUGGUGUAGCGGUGAAAUGCGCAGAUAUCAGGAGGAACACCGGUGGCGAAGGCGGUUCUCUGGGCAGUAACUGACGUGGAGGAGCGAAAGCGUGGGGGAGCGAACAGG
rnacentral:rRNA from 1 species